ensembl:lncRNA
CUCUGCAAUGUCUGCAAGCGGCCAGGUUCCUCCUAAAGCGGCUCUGGCUUCUGUUUUCCACCAGUGGGGGGCGCUCUGACAUCUAGCGUCAUGAGUACGUGUAGAGAAGAAGAAAGUUAAACGGGAGAAGCAGGCAGUGUUUGGCAGCGCUGCUGCUCCUCGCUGUGAGGCCGGUGUCUGUAAAGCUGAUGGAGGCGGAGUCGCAGUCGGAGUCGGAGCUUUAACUGGAUGUUGCGUGUUUUUAUGGCAUGAACGAUAUCCUGAUGCAAGUCUCCUGCUCCUGGUGAUGAC